ACGAACGCUGGCGGCGUGCUUAACACAUGCAAGUCGAACGGAAAGGCCCUGCUUUUGUGGGGUGCUCGAGUGGCGAACGGGUGAGUAACACGUGAGUAACCUGCCCUUGACUUUGGGAUAACUUCAGGAAACUGGGGCUAAUACCGGAUAGGAGCUCUUGCUGCAUGGUGGGGGUUGGAAAGUUUCGGCGGUUGGGGAUGGACUCGCGGCUUAUCAGCUUGUUGGUGGGGUAGUGGCUUACCAAGGCUUUGACGGGUAGCCGGCCUGAGAGGGUGACCGGCCACAUUGGGACUGAGAUACGGCCCAGACUCCUACGGGAGGCAGCAGUGGGGAAUAUUGCACAAUGGGCGGAAGCCUGAUGCAGCAACGCCGCGUGCGGGAUGACGGCCUUCGGGUUGUAAACCGCUUUCGCCUGUGACGAAGCGUGAGUGACGGUAAUGGGUAAAGAAGCACCGGCUAACUACGUG
rnacentral:rRNA from 1 species